AUUGAACGCUGGCGGCAUGCCUUACACAUGCAAGUCGAACGGCAGCACGGGUGCUUGCACCUGGUGGCGAGUGGCGAACGGGUGAGUAAUACAUCGGAACAUGUCCUGUAGUGGGGGAUAGCCCGGCGAAAGCCGGAUUAAUACCGCAUACGAUCUACGGAUGAAAGCGGGGGACCUUCGGGCCUCGCGCUAUAGGGUUGGCCGAUGGCUGAUUAGCUAGUUGGUGGGGUAAAGGCCUACCAAGGCGACGAUCAGUAGCUGGUCUGAGAGGACGACAAGCCACACUGGGACUGAGACACGGCCCAGACUCCUACGGGAGGCAGCAGUGGGGAAUUUUGGACAAUGGGCGAAAGCCUGAUCCAGCAAUGCCGCGUGUGUGAAGAAGGCCUUCGGGUUGUAAAGCACUUUUGUCCGGAAAGAAAUCCUUGGCCCUAAUACGGUCGGGGGAUGACGGUACCGGAAGAAUAAACACCGGCUAACUACGU
rnacentral:rRNA from 1 species